rnacentral:lncRNA from 1 species
GGGGGGAUUUGGGAACCCCCAGCCCCAAAUUCUGCGGCAGCGGGGGCUGGGCUGGAUCAGGCACUUCUGGGCACUGCGGGGAGGGGACAGGGACGGACAGAGGGACGGACAGGAUGGACAGAGGGAUGGACAGGGAGGGACAGAGGGAUGGACAGGGAUGGACACAGGGAUGGACAGGGAGGGACAUGGGGGGGACAGGGAGGGACACAGGGAUGGACAGGGAUGGACAGAGGGAUGGACACAGGAUGGAU